AAACAUCAAAUUCUUUGAUCUUUUGGUAGUAGGUUGGCACUUCAGAAGUGAUUAAACUGCUAAAUUUGUGACUGGCUAAAAUCAUAUUCUACUGUUAUAUAAAAGCUCAAGCUAGAGAGGAAAUAACCUUCAUAUUAUCUCCACUUUCACCGGUCACACUGCUAGUUUCACUCAAUGCAUGUGCAGAAUUCUCAUCUAUGUCCACUUCAGAAUCAUCUGCUGCAUCAUCAUCUUCAAAACUAUCGUCGUCAUCAUCAUCAUCAGUAAUUUCCUCGCUCUCACUACCAGUUUCUUCAGAAUCAGUAUAGGGUUCAGGGGAUGCAGAGCCCUCCUGCAAGUACGUUUACUGGUUACUGAGUACAAAAAAUCAAAAACUAACAAAACUAUGGCAAGUAGAAUAUCUUUAAAGUAACCAACAAAGCAACGAGACAUACAGAGAACAGGCUGCAUUAUUAAAACAAGAUUUUUCACAACAUUCUAGCAUAAAACUAUCACAUAAAAAAGUGAAAAAGAAAAAAGAAUAACUUUCAUCCUAAGCUGUUUUGCCACCAACAUACUUUCAGGGAGGUUGUAAUGAUUUUAACGACAUACAUGCUUGCUGCAAUUUUUCCUGAUCAUGACGAGCAAAUAAGUAACAUAGAUUUAGAGUGGCUUAGCAACAAUUAGCAAAUAGUUUCAGCAGAAGCUGUUUAUGUCCACCGCACAUUCAUUUAUGUAGGUGAUACCAAACCAUCAAUUAGAUCGUUUUUAAUUUACUCGGAAUAGAAUUUCCGAUUCACCAGCCAUCACAAAUGAAGAGGACAUAGUAACUCUAGAAGUGAGUGGCAAGAAAAUGUAAAACAAUUUAAAAUUAUAUGGUCAUGGCACACUGGGAAACUGGACUGAUUAUCACUAUACAUACAGGUAUACAUCAGGAAAAUAUGCAUUUGGAAAUCUGAAUACACAAAAGAAAAAGAAAAUCAAAAACUGAAUUCUGAAAUUUCAGUUGAGUUCAGUUUAUCUACUUGAUUGACAUAGUAGAUGUCUUAAGUUUGUAAACAAUGAUAUAAAAGUCGCUGUACUUGAUUGACAUAGUAGCUGUCUGGCUGAUGGCCCACAAACAUUAACUAACCGGAGAUAAAAUAAUAUAAUAUGCAGUACAUAGAGUAGAGUUC
rnacentral:lncRNA from 1 species